CGCGCUUGUUAGGCGGCGCGGGCGCGGGAGCAGGUGCCCAGCAGCAGGUGCCCGGCAGCAGCCCGCACCGCACCGCACCGCGCCGCGCAGGAGCGGAGGGGCUCGAGCGAGAGGCGCGGUCCCGGCCGUAAGCAAGAAACUUUCCUCGCUCACAGAGCCCUCUUGGAGCAGCACGGCGCCCCGCUGCCAGGGAGCUCCUGGCGCCGGUCCGGCCCCGCCGCCCUUCUGGUUGCGGAGAGGCGCUCCCGGCCCGACGGACCCCGCGCCGCGUCCGUGCCGGAGGUGCCGCCAAAUCCGGACCGGAGCAGAAGGGAUUCACUGUGAACUAUGAGCGCUGCGACAAAAGUUUUCUAAGUGACAGAUGCGUGCAUAAGUAAACUUGUAUGCAGAAAUUAAAAUCAACUGGAGUUGGUAGCAUCCUCUCUGGAAGUUAAAUAUCGUUCAAAGCUGGGGCGGCACGGGGGUCGGGUUGCGCGUAGCCGAUGGCCUCGGACCGUGCGGGAGUCGGGUAUCGCUGCGGGACGGGCAGCAGCACCGAGGCGGCCGGGGGCAGCGCGACUGCGGCAAGGAGACGGGGGAAGGAAGACGGGCGGAGCGGCAUCGGAGAUAGCAGAAAGAAAAACUCUACUGAGAAGUGUGAAAAGAAAAGGAGGGGGAGGAGCCGCCCACAUGCUGCCAGGAGCCGUCCCGCUGGCAGCUUCUGCUCUCUGCUGUAUCGCUGCCGAACUGGGCGCCAAGGUCAGAAUCAGAAAGUUUCUUCACAUAAACUCGUUAUUUCUAAAUAUGUCUAAGGGGUUAAAGCAGAUCAGAAUCGGCCACAAUAAGGAUUUUGCUUCCUUAUCAAUGCUGGUGAAAUGGCAGAGGGAAAUGCAGACUGAAGGAGCACAACUUUGUCUGUUCAAAGUUCUGAGUGCUCAGCUGCGUUCUUCUGACACUGAAAAAAUAUUCCUCUUUUAAGGCACUUCCCCUGCACAACAGACACAGCUCCUGUGCUACUGCGCUGCUUCCUGUAGCACUUCUGAUGGGUUCCUCCUCAGCUGGAGCUGAUGAUCCCAGCCCAUGAUGAUUCUGGGGAACUCCUCUGGGAGAAGCAAGGGGGGCUCUGGUUCCCAGCUCCGUGGGAUGGAGGUAACAGGGAGAACAAGGACUGGGAGGGGGGGGGGGCUGGGAAAAGGAAUAGAUCUGUCGAUUUCCUAGAAGCCCUACCCUACAAACAGGAGGUGGGCAGACAGGCAGGGGGGAGUGCCAACCUCCCUGUGCUGGACACCAUCGUUCCUAUGCACUUACGGACUGUCAGCCUUGCACACUUGACUUGCACUGUAGCACCCAGCUUCUGCAGCUCUGGCUUUAAUAAAGUAAUGCCAGUCAUGCAAAUGAGAUGUUAUUUCAUUUUCAUUAAAUGUCACACGCUGAGCUAGGCAGUUAUGAUGGUUUUCUCUGUAUUGACAACAGGCUGUUAUUUGUACUGGGAACAAAGAAAGGAUGCUCAGCAGGAGGAUGUAUGUACUGGUAUAUAAGAAUGUGGCUUAAUUAGUGAUGUGUGACAGAGCUCCCAAGCUAGGAGUGCAGAUUUGCAAAUCCAGAUGUUUACAGAGGGCCAUGAAUUGCACGACUCCAUCUAAUUACAAACUGUUUUGUUAAUCAAUGUCGCUGACAUAGAAUAGGGCAAUUGUUCAGAUACAAUGGCAAGAGUAUCAAUGUAUUAACAAACUAUAGUAUUUGUUAUUGGUAUUAGACUGAAACUAUGGUGGGUUUUUUUGGCUUUGUUUUCAAAAACAUUUCUGUGGAUGUGGAGAAAACGUGUGAACCAUUCACCUCGUGCUAACUAGCCCUGAGCUGCCUUUGUGGCUGCUUGGCUGCUCUGGUUUACAGAUUCAGAAUGGACUGUCAGUCUGUAAAACUCCCCUAAUGCUUCACCUGUGCUUGAAGAAAAGCACCAACUUGGAAAUAAUCUGGAGGAAAAAAAAUAAUUGAGUGAUCCUCAUAAAUUUCUGAUGAUCCAUUUCAGGACUGGUUACUGUCCUGCUCAGGCAGUGAGAGAGCUGCUUGUUUUAGUCCAGAAAAAAAUACGGGAAGACCAAAAAACCUGUUUGUUUUUUUACCUUACAGAAGCAAGUUGAAAGCUCAGAGGUACUGAACUGAUACCUCUAGAAACUGAAAUAUGAUUUAGCCAUAAAGCAGUUUAAGCCAUGAGCAACAGCAGCAUUACCUGCCCUGCAUUACGUUGUCAGUGAACCCUAAUCCUGUUCUAGGGAGAUCACCCUUGGAAACUCAGUCUCACUAGGCAUUUAACUAGCUUUCCUCAUAAAGAAAGCCUCUAAGGAGAGACACCAUAAGCUUCUCUGAAAACAAGUACAGAAGAAUCUAUUGGAAGCCUUUAUUUUUUCCUUCAAGAGAACGAUUUAUCAAGAGUUUAGCUGGCUGUGUAUAAAACCACCCUUUCACGGACUGCUUGCCUUUUGAUUUAAUCCUUCUUAAGUUAUAAAUACAAGGUCUGGCCUGUAAGCAGAUAACUUAUAUGAAAUGUGGUUUGUUCACAGUUCUGAAAAUGCAGUUUGUUCUCUGCCAUAUUAGUUGAACCACAGAAAGGCAAUUCAGGGAUUCAUAUUUGCCCUUAUAAACCUCAGAUACCCCUCUUCCCUAGCAUCUGCUGGGAUCUUGUACAAAGUCUGAAGAUGUGUGAAAAUGAGAUUUACAGCAAAAGAGCUCUUGCUGACCUAUACUGUGCACUACUUCAACUGUUUGAUUUGCAGUUGUAAGAGAGAUUUGCAUGUGUUUAUGGUGAUUUGCUUACAGUGUCACCUUCAGCUUCCACAGCAAGCAAUUAAGGUAUCUCAGAGAGUAGGUCGAGUCCAGUGAGAGCGCACAGCAGGAACAAAUAAGCUGUUGGGGUCCCAACCAGCAGCAGCGAUCUGUCAGCCCACUCCCUAUGGAAUAAGAAUGGCUGCAGACUUGCUGCACCGUGCGCCUGCCAGCACAGGUUUUGCACAGCAGAGCAAAGACAGAAUGGCACAGGCAGGCUGCUUCAGAUGCCAGUGGGGAACAGCACUGGGCCAAGGGAAUUCUCCUGUGGUUACUUCUUGUAGGAGAAAGCAGGCACAGAGGGUAAAACCCAGCCAGUAACAUGAACAGCUGAAGAGUGCAUAAGCUUUCCGAGGUGUGCACCCAAGAAUAACUGCCAGACAGACAGUUGCAUAUAUUCAUAUCCAAACAUUCUGUAAUUGUAUUUGGUCCAAUUAAACCAGGUUGGUUCCCGAGUUUAAUCAUGCCCUGCUUCCUAUUGAAAAAUAGUUCUGACUUUCUGCUUUCAGGUCUUACUUCUGCCCAGAGACUAUCAAACAAAAUAACCUUAGUGUUUUCCCAGUAUUUUGAUGUAUUUUAAAACGUCCACAAAGAUUGUGAUAAAAUGUUUAAAUAAAAAAUCGUGUUUUCCAGUUGCAAUUGUGGCAAAUCUCAAUCUCAGAAAUGAGCAUUUUUGAUCUUAACAGGUAGCUGUAAGCAGGAGGAUAACAGGGAAACUGAUAGAUGAUCUUUACCAAAGUGGGGACUGCAGCAGUAAAUGAAUAUAAAACUGUUGACCUCGAAGGAUCACUGGACUGCAUGGCUAUUGGGUUCUGCACCUUCUGAAGAACAAAUUUAUUAAGACAAUGUGGGCAGUGUCAUCUGCUGCUUUUCAUUGGGUGCCUGCAAUACAGUCUUCGACUUCUAAUCUCCCAUUUACACAUUACAUUGGAUAAAGUUAAAAGUGAGAAAAAUAUUAGCUCAGUGUAAAAGAUACUUGAAAAAACUAUCCUUGAGACAAUCAUUAAACAAUCUGGUUUAUAUAGCUGUAAUUGUCCAUGUAUCCAUAGCAUUGCCAAGCUUUUCUUUCUUUCCUAUUUUAAAGUAAUUUGGAUUUCAGUCUUACCUUGAGAGAGCAUCUUCUUUAGGGGCAGGUCUCUUUGGUAUUUACUGAUGCCAUGAAAGUCACCCAGAUAGGAUACCAGCAGGUUUUCUUUCAGGUGCAAAAAAUUCCUAAGCAAGCAAAAAUGCCAAUGUCAGGAGCUUGACCUGUUUUUCUUGUCAGACACUUCUGUCAGAAAAGUGCAUUGUUACAAAGAAGUAACUCAAAUUGAAAUUAUUUGCUAGUCAAAUAGGUAAUUGUAUUUUAACAGGGCAAAACCCCAACCCAACUUGCCAGAGAACACUCAGCUAAAGCCAGCAUGUGUUGGAACAGCGUGUGUGCUCACUGUAAUUGUAAAUGGGAUACCAUGGUCACGCUGCCUCUUCUGAUUUAAAAGAAUUAAGACCAACACUGUCCAAAUUUUAACUGAAACUACUAAUAAUUAGGGGUUAUUAGGGGCUGUUGGCUAGCUUUAUUUUCUGCAACAGUUCUGUUGUAUUUGGAGAUUCUAUUUAAAUCCAGAAUUAAGAGCUGUGUUUGAACAGGUAAUCCAAUCUUCUCUGUGUAAUUUAGCCAAUGAUUUUUUUUCCUGGCCGUUAGUUUUGGCUGUGUUUCAAGGUAAACGUUGAAACUGCAAUACUAAAAAUAACCUCAUUCAAUAUAUUUUACCUGAAAGGAUAUACCAGGACAGCCUACAAAUGAUUACUAAAAUUCUGAUUUAUUUACUUAUUUGUUACUUACUGAGGAAGCCUCAGUGACAGGGUACUGAUGGGGACUUCACAGUGUACAUCCUCCCCUCUAGCGGCUGCUCCUCUCACAGAAAAGUUGCAACACUUCAGCAUUUCAUCUGUACUCGGUACAAAGUGAUGGGCAUAGCAUGGAGGGAAGCUAGACUGGAAGAAGACGUUAGAUACAAUCUUUUAUGCACUAGGAAAUUCAAAUCUUGCAGUGAUAAGAGCCGUAUGAAGACAGAGAUGCACAACAAGAGCUGCAGGUUUGACAAUCUUUUUGUGAAAAACAUGUUUUUCUUGAAAGAUGAUAGUAGUUGUGAUCACCUGCAUACCAAACCAGCUUCACAGCCAUUUCUCAGUCUCUCAGACCAAUCUUUUUGUCAGCUUGUCUUGCUUUCCUAUAUUGCCAGCAUCUUACAGGACUCAUAGAGUAAAAAAAAAUGUCAGUAAGCCUAUAGAACAUCCAUCCCUCUUAUUUCCAAACAUUUUUCUGUUAUCUUUUUCUGCUAUCCCCUACAUUCUCCAAUUCAUCUGUCCUUUUGUCGUCAACAGCAGUAAACCCAUAUCCUAGUCUUCAUGCUCAUUGUUUACUUUUUUUGCUAUUUCUACUAUGAGACUAGUACCUCUAAUACAACCCAACACCCAUUCCCAAAUUGCUAUCAAAGUGAUGAGUUAAACCCAUGACUCUCAGGAGAAGAGAUCACUGCAAAAGCAGAGCUAUCCAUAAACAAGGUUGCAGAGGCACAACCAGCACAUGGAAUAUUUUGUAAGGACUUAUUUCUUGCCUGCACAAGGGGAAAGUGGCCAUGCAAGGAAGUCCCUGCACUGUACUGCAGCUCUGGCCAGCUUUUCCAGGCAUUGAACCAGGGAUGCUAUGAAGUCUAAACAUCUCACACUCGGGAGGUAGGCUGGAAAAAAAUCAGAGGGGAGAGAGAAAAAUCGCCAGAAUUUCAUUCAUGUCUCACAAUGGAAGCCAAACUGUGAGAGUUUUCCAGCCCUUCAACUGAAGACAUCUCUUUUUCCUCUGCUUACUGUCACCCUAUUGCUUGCAUCCACUUACACCAGUUUCAUAGCAGGGUUGGUCUCCCCAGCUGGAUUUGCCCAUUCUGGUUCUGAACAGAACAGUCUCGGUCUUUGUAACCUACAGUAACUAGAUUUCAUUAGUGUUUGUCAGUGCUCAGGCAGAAUAUACCAGCAAAGGGUAUUAGAUACCUUUUUCAUAGCACUUAUUGGAUAUACGGCCUCAGAGUAUGUUUCCAUCAGAAAUCAAAAUCUGGCAUGAUGUGACUAUCAGAUCUGGAGGCUCAACUGUUAACCAUAAGUCAUCAGCAAUUAAAAUCCUAAUAUUAAUAUUUCAUUAAGAUCCCCUCCUUCUGAGUAACUCAAUCAUUAGUCAACUAGUCAAAUGUGUUCACAGCCUUCCCAGCAGAAUUUAGAUCAAUAAAUAGGUUAAUAAAUCAAUAAUAGGUUAGAGAAUAACUCUCUAAAAUAAUGGGUUACUUACCAAAUCUUUGAACUCAGUCUGGGAUGAUUCUCACUGCAUUUAUUCCUCCCCGGAUUUGGAUGGGAAAAUUAUUAGUAGUUAGAUGUAUUUUCAGCAAAAAAAAAAAAAAAAAGAAGAAGAAGAAGAAAUAGAAAAUUCCAUCAAAUACUGACUUACAGCUACUUUUUAUCAUAAAAUCUUACAGAUUUGCCACCAGUGAGCUCAUUAGUGUAAAUGAUAGAACCUUAUCUCAGGUUUGAAGUCAGCAUUUUUCCUUAGCUACCAAACAGUCCGUUUCCCUUCAUGACAUGAUAAUGGAGGACUUUACUCUUGAGAGCAAGGAAAAUAUUCUUCCCUGUUUUUCUAGGGCAAUCAAACAGGGCUGGUAAAAAAAUACAAGUGGACCAAGUGAGAUUUUAAUGCUGCUGGUAUCCUUGUGGAAGCCUUUUCCAAAAGAAGCAGAGCCUCUGCAGGAGAAGGAAGUGCACACUGUGACUGCCCGCAAAUCGUGCAGGACAGAUGUCACGGGAAGGCAGAAGAUGAAGGCUAAAGGAAGUAUUACUCUUUCCUCCUCCUCUGUUUUGCUCUCCAAAAUCUUUGUGACAUUGACUAAUCACAUCUUCAUACCCCUUGGUAACCCAGUAUAGCAUCAGUAUUGCUCAGUACACACUGGUUCUUCAGUGCUGGGAAACCACAGUGAAUCUGGCAACAGGUGCAGGAAGUAGAAGUCUUCUUGCUUUCCAGAAGCUAGAGCUGGCUGUAAGAGAUAUAGGGGUUAAGUUCUUAAAGACACUGGCAACUAGAGAUAAAAGCAACACUUAAAAAAGUUCAGUUGAAAAGGAUAGCUUGAGAUUACUUCAGUGGCUGAGAGAGCAGAAAGGGAGGGCAAAACCCUGCGUGCCGGCCAAACUUUUAUAACUUCAGGUUGGAAAGUACAAAUCUAAUAAGGAUAGGGUUAACCCAUAAACGAACAUAUGAACAUUGUUCCAUACUGCUCACAGUACAUCAGAAUAUCUCUAAUGAAUAAGGUCAAAGGCUACAGUGGCACUGGUCAGAGGGCUUGUUGCGUUGGGAGCAGCUGCUCAAAAAGAGGGGUGAGCUCCUAUUCGCUACGUUACAAGCUCGUCUGCUGCUUUCUGAAUUUGUAAUAUUGCUAAUUUCCAUCUUCUGAGCACAUCCAGUAUUGAAGGAGUUUGUGCCUCUGAACGAAUGCCCCAUCCCCCAGAACUCACUCAGGCAAAAGCCCGUUUGGCUCCCAGCAGUGCUGGGAAGCUCUGCUCGCAUCCUCACCCACAGGUCCCGGGGGCUGAGCGGGUGCCUGGCACGACAGCCCCCUGUGGGUUCUGCAGGCUCCUGCGGCUCUGCUCCGACCUCGGUGCGGGUGAGCUGCAAGGCGGUUCGCUUGAGUGACACGAGAGAAAAUAGGAUAGCUGCAGACACGAGAGCUUUUUUGGUGAAAUGCUAUCAGUUUGCAGCAGCGCAACAAACAACAACCGCAACAUGUAGAUGCUUAGAUUUUGUAUGUCUGAAUUAAUAAAGGCUGGAGAGACGUAGCUCUUUGUGCCAUAAAUUCACUGAUGGCUUUUCAAGGAAACCUAUUACUAGUCAAGUGAAACUUAGAAAAAAAAUGCUGGAUGGAAAUAUAAUGUUUUACUUUGGGGGAGACAGAUAGAUCUCAGAAAACAAAAUGUCUUCAGUAAUGGGAACAGUAUGGUUUAAAUACUAUGAAGCUAUGAAACAAAGUGCUAUUAAUAAUGCUUGAGCCACGCAGAGCAUUGCCACCUCUAAAUACUGCUUUUUCGGCUGUGCAGCAAGUCGAGCCUGUCGACCCCAGAUGGGUCCCCAUUGCAGCAGCAUCCUUUGCAACUCUUGUAAAGCUUCAUCCAAAGCCUAUCAGGCUCCAGGUCCAUUUUUAUUUUCCUUUCAUCCUCUCUCAGUCUUGAAUUUACUUAACAAUCUGUGGAUUUUGAUGUUCUUGUUCAUUUCUGAAGCUGCAUUUGCACUACAAGAUAAGAGGAGAGAAAGAAUAAAAAGCAGAGCUGGUUUACACAAAGAGUGAAGUUUUAGAUUUCUGUGGUUUUUUUCAUGUUCACAGGGCACAGGGAAGUGCCUGCAUGCUGCAGUAAGCUCUGGAUCGGCUACAAAGCUCACGGCUGUGGAGAAGGGAUUUGUUAUUUAUUCAGCAUCAUAAGGACCCCCUAGUGGCACCGGUGUGGAGGGUGGCUGGGAUAUGCAGGCUGUUCUGUUCUUCCCCAAGAGCCAAAUCUACUUGUUUAGGAAACUGCUGAUGUAUGUGAACUUCAGAGAUACAAAUUGCGCUUAGCGUAGAUGUGGCCACUGCCUGGCCCAGAUUCUCAUUUACAUUAGAAUAAUUUUUGCAUGUAUAUUAAAUAUCAUAGAGGUGGAAAGAACGACAGAUUAAAAUAGGUACCUAGCUCUCUGUAUGCGUGGCUUCCACAUGAACGUUUUAUCCCUGAAAAGAAAACCCAAACAACACUAAGCUGAGCCUGUCACAAUUACCAUAUUUUCUUACAUCUUCCUUCCCAUAACUAUAGCCACAGAGCACUAGUCCAUCAGUGCCCCCAGCAGCUUGUGACAAACUGCUGUUUCAGUAAUUACUGAGCAUCCAUAUCACAUCUGUGAUACUACUCACUGGAGGGGUUCAAAUCUAGAAAGACAGACAUCGUCAUUUUUCUUUUGAAGCUGAGAUCAAGUCUGAGUCACUGAGCUGGACACUGACUGGCUCAGCAGAUCAGCAGUGGCACCAAGCAUAUUAUGUUUAUUGAACAUAACAGAGGGGAACAGUAAGAUAUGGGAUGGAAGCAGCAGUGAUACAAAGGGAGCUAGACAGCAUUGGAUAAGGAGUCAAGUCAGGUAUUGGCCAGCCACCAGGAUGAGCAUAUUCAUAACAAAGAUCAUUUGAUGGUCAGGAUCAAGAAAUAAUGGGAGUUUUGCUUUGCAGUCCCACGUUUGGAAUGAUUCACAGUUUACCAACAUAAUCCAUUUUUAUGUGUUUGCCAGGAUUUAAAUCUUAAAGGACUUUUUGCACUGGAUGACUUUUAAUUAUUCUUUCAGCGUUUUCAUGGAUUUCUUCGUUUGGAUUAUGUAAAAUAUUUACCAGUGGCGAAGCCUAGCUGCAUUCAGUGACUCUGCAUUACUCCAUUUUGUUGGAGGGUCAGCACAAUUCUUAAAGGCUGAAGUGUAAGAAUUGUGUUGCGUUGCAUUUGUACACUGCCUGUCCUUUAUCGAUGGAAACUCACCCCACUGGCCUAAGCACUUUUGCAUGCUGGGUUUUGUUUACAAAUUGGCAGUAAUGUGCUCUAGUCUCUUGGACUGUGUGCAAUUAGUUGCAUGCAAUCUCUUUAGGCUUCAAGACUUCCUAAAUGAUGAUAGAUUCUGAAAUGCAGACCCAUCGGCUGCUUUGCAUAUUGCAUAUAUUUUUCAUAUUUCCAAGACAGGACAUAUGCAAAAUCAUUUCACUGUGGCACAAACACAAGAAACAUGAUUUGGAAGAAAGGACAGGGGCCAGAGUGUCUGUCUCUUAUUCUCCCACUCGCAUUGCUGCAAACUGGAUCUGGUUGGCAACUCCUUCUGAGGCUCUCAGUUUCUGACUGGAACAGGUCAUUAUGUGUGCACCUCAAUCCAUCACUUCCGAAGCAUCCUGUGAAGAAAUUGCCAUUAGAAACCAGUGUAGCGAAACCAACUACCUUCUAUCUAAAAGCAUGACUUGCAUUUUUGUAUCACAUCUCAUUCUUUUUAUUCCUAACAUUACCUAUCUAUCUGUAUAGUUACUUUCUGUAGCAGCAGAGAUCAUGCUGUAUCUAUUUUUACUGCACCAAUUACUGCUAUUUUAAGACUGUAUAGAAAUGUCUACAAAUAAAGAUUAGCUGAAAGUUCCC
rnacentral:lncRNA from 1 species